rnacentral:rRNA from 1 species
GACGAGGGAUCCUAGCGUUGUUCGGAAUCACUGGGCGUAAAGCGUUUGUAGGCGGCUCUAUAAGUCGGGUGUGAAAGCCCAUGGCUCAACCAUGGAAGUGCAUUCGAAACUGCAGAGCUUGAAUAUGGAAGAGGAGAGUAGAAUUCCAGGUGUAGUGGUGAAAUACGUAGAUAUCUGGAGGAAUACCGGUGGCGAAGGCGGCUCUCUGGUCCAAUAUUGACGCUGAGAAACGAAAGUGCGGGGAUCAAACAGG